AGGCGAGUCAGUCAGAAUCUGCAUUAUGGAAUGUUUUGGAUGACAAGCUUGUAUUUGCAAAAGUACACACCCUGUGGGAGGUGCUCUGUACAUACGCUGAGAUACUGUACAUAAAAUUGCCUCUGAAUCCCAAUCAUCUGAAAACCCUGUCCUCAGCCUUUGAUAACUUCAGCUGUCUUAUGAAAGUCCUCCAAGUGGAUGAAAGUAUCAACAACCGGAACAAGAGUUUUUCAUUGCCCUAUUUGAGAAGAGCUGCGUGAACGACUUUUAUAUUCAGGAUAGAGAUACAUUCAUCAAUCCAACCACCAGGAGCCGCACUCCUCCGUCAGAGGACCUCAGCUGCCCCAGCGAACAGGGCCUUCUGUACAGGCAAUGGGCUCCUCCUCGAAGCAUAGACAAGAAGCAGCCCUUAGAUCUCAUCAGGAAAUUCUACGGAGAGAAGGUCGGAAUCUACUUUGCUUGGCUGGGCUAUUACACUCAGAUGCUCCUCCUGGCAGCAGUCGUGGGGAUGACUUGCUUUCUGUAUGUAUAUUUUAAUCAAAAUAA